AUUGAACGCUGGCGGCAUGCCUUACACAUGCAAGUCGAACGGCAGCACGGGUGCUUGCACCUGGUGGCGAGUGGCGAACGGGUGAGUAAUACAUCGGAACAUGUCCUGUAGUGGGGGAUAGCCCGGCGAAAGCCGGAUUAAUACCGCAUACGAUCUACGGAUGAAAGCGGGGGACCUUCGGGCCUCGCGCUAUAGGGUUGGCCGAUGGCUGAUUAGCUAGUUGGUGGGGUAAAGGCCUACCAAGGCGACGAUCAGUAGAUGGUCUGAGAGGACGACCAGCCACACUGGGACUUGGACACGGCCCAGACUCCUACGGGAGGCAGCAGUGGGGAAUUUUGGACAAUGGGCGAAAGCCUGAUCCAGCAAUGCCGCGUGUGUGAAGAAGGCCUUCGGGUUGUAAAGCACUUUUGUCCGGAAAGAAAUCCUUGGCUCUAAUACAGUCGGGGGAUGACGGUACCGGAAGAAUAAGCACCGGCUAACUACGUG
rnacentral:rRNA from 1 species